UAUUUCAGAUGCGAGAAUAGU
rnacentral:piRNA from 1 species